AUCUAAAUAAUUUAAUUAAAAUAUCAGUUUGUGGUUCUGAAAAUGUAUGUGUAUACUUUGGGUU
rnacentral:tRNA from 1 species